rnacentral:rRNA from 1 species
UACGUAGGGGGCAAGCGUUGUCCGGAUUUAUUGGGCGUAAAGAGCGUGUAGGCGGCCAGACAGGUCAGCUGUGAAACUCGAGGCUCAACCUCGAGACGUCGGUUGAAACCGUCUGGCUAGAGUCCGGAAGAGGAGAGUGGAAUUCCUGGUGUAGCGGUGAAAUGCGCAGAUAUCAGGAAGAACACCCGUGGCGAAGGCGGCUCUCUGGGACGGUACUGACGCUGAGACGCGAAAGCGUGGGGAGCGAACAGG